rnacentral:hammerhead_ribozyme from 1 species
AUCCAGCUGACGAUUUCGAAAUAGAAUGAAACGCGCGUCCUGGAU